rnacentral:rRNA from 1 species
GACGAACGCUGGCGGCGUGCCUAAUACAUGCAAGUUGAGCGCUGAAGGUUGGUACUUGUACCAACUGGAUGAGCAGCGGACGGGUGAGUAACGCGUGGGGAAUCUGCCUUUGAGCGGGGGACAACAUUUGGAAACGAAUGCUAAUACCGCAUAAAAACUUUAAACACAAGUUUUAAGUUUGAAAGAUGCAAUUGCAUCACUCAAAGAUGAUCCCGCGUUGUAUUAGCUAGUUGGUGAGGUAAAGGCUCACCAAGGCGAUGAUACAUAGCCGACCUGAGAGGGUGAUCGGCCACAUUGGGACUGAGACACGGCCCAAACUCCUACGGGAGGCAGCAGUAGGGAAUCUUCGGCAAUGGACGAAAGUCUGACCGAGCAACGCCGCGUAAGUGAAGAAGGUUUUCGGAUCGUAAAACUCUGUUGGUAGAGAAGAACGUUGGUGAGAGUGGAAAGCUCAUCAAGUGACGGUAACUACCCAGAAAGGGACGGCUAACUACGUG